rnacentral:rRNA from 1 species
AUUGAACGCUGGCGGCAUGCCUCACACAUGCAAGUCGAACGGCAGCACGGGAGCAAUCCUGGUGGCGAGUGGCGAACGGGUGAGUAAAGUAUCGGAACGUGCCCAGUCGUGGGGGAUAACGUAGCGAAAGUUACGCUAAUACCGCAUACGAUCUAUGGAUGAAGGCGGGGGAUCGCAAGACCUCGCGCGAUUGGAGCGGCCGAUAUCAGAUUAGGUGGUUGGUGGGGUAAAGGCUCACCAAGCCGACGAUCUGUAGCUGGUCUGAGAGGACGACCAGCCACACUGGGACUGAGACACGGCCCAGACUCCUACGGGAGGCAGCAGUGGGGAAUUUUGGACAAUGGGCGAAAGCCUGAUCCAGCCAUGCCGCGUGCAGGAUGAAGGCCUUCGGGUUGUAAACUGCUUUUGUACGGAACGAAAAGGUUUGGCCUAAUAAGCUGAGCUCAUGACGGUACCGUAAGAAUAAGCACCGGCUAACUACGUGCCAGCCGCCGCGGUAA